AUGUUUGUAUCUCAUCAAAAAUUACUUUUCGAAGUUGUGGAAUGUACUUUUUUUUUGCAAAUUUUGAUGAUUCUUUUCACGUUCAAUAUUUUGAAGGAAACAUUGUUGAGAAUAAUACAUAAUAUUGAUGAUAAGUUUUCUGACUGGUUCUUUUAUCUUGCAGGUUUUUUAACGGUUUCUAAUGUAAAUGUAUCAUGUAUGAAUUUGGAUACUAAAUUAUGUUAA